UACGGGGGGGGGCAAGCGUUGUUCGGAAUUACUGGGCGUAAAGGGCUCGUAGGCGGCCAACUAAGUCGGACGUGAAAUCCCCAGGCUCAACCUGGGAACUGCGUCCGAUACUGGAUGGCUUGAAUCCGGGAGAGGGAUGCAGAAUUCCAGGUGUAGCGGUGAAAUGCGUAGAUAUCUGGAGGAAUACCGGUGGCGAAGGCGGCAUCCUGGACCGGCAUUGACGCUGAGGAGCGAAAGCGUGGGGAGCGAACAGG
rnacentral:rRNA from 1 species